GAGCUCACUUCAGCAGCACGUACACUAAAGGUGGAAUGAAACAGAGAAGAUUAGCUUGGUCCCUGUGCAAGAAUGACAUGCAAAUUUGUGAAGCAUUUUAUAUUUUU